AAUGGAGACAGCUGCAAACUGGCGCCCGGGCAACAAACCUCACUCCAAACCGAGGGUUCAAACUGGAGUUUAAGAAUCCAAAAUGAAUUCUCACAGAGUUCCAGUAUCAGGGAACCGUGGCAUACACACACAGCCCUGCCUUGAGUCUCACCCGGUCCAUCUACCAAGAUCCUUUAUCCAGAAAUAGUGGAAACUGAAACUGGGUCUUUCUGCAGUUGAAAAGAUGCAGCCUCCUACUCAGAUGUGGUUCCUCUUAAAACGUACAGGAAAUCCUCAGUAUUUGCGGAAUCCCUCAACAUUGCCGCAGAUAAGGAAACCGCAAAUACUGGAUCAUUGAACUCAAUGCAAUUGUGGGAGUUAGAUUCCUGGAGGUUGGGAAACCAAGGUCAGGUGUCAAUUACCCAACCACGGAUACUUGAAACCACAGAUGCCAAAUCCGCGAGUAAUGAGGCCGUCCUUUAUACAGACAGGUUUGGGCCCUCCACUCUGCUCCUACAGGAUCACUCACCACCUCCUUCCGAUCCAAGACCUCCAGAAUAUUGUUAAGGAGCUGCGAACAGGCUUCAUGAUCCGGUUUGGUGGAAUUAUCAUCCAGCUGCCCACUUAACUGGUCGACCAGCAGAGGCAGGAGAACAUCUCGGCACUCUGAGGAACAUCAUGAAGAAAGAUGACACAGGUUCAGCAUCCCAAGCUGGGAAUGUGUGUAUUAACCUACCCACUCACCUGCUUCAUGGUCCAGGUCAGCGGCAGCUGCAGGAGUAGUCUGGCUUCUAUUUCUUCCAGUUAAAUGGGCACGGAGGCCUCUUUCAAGUGGCGGCUCUCUUAUGUUUAUCAAGGGGAGAGCAACUGGCCCUAUUCAGCCCAGAAUAGCAUCUCUCCAGCAGCUGUUGCUUCAAUGCCCUCUUGGGGUGGG